rnacentral:rRNA from 1 species
GACAGAGGGUGCAAACGUUGUUCGGAAUUACUGGGCGUAAAGCGUGUGUAGGCGGCCACGUAAGUCGGAUGUGAAAGCCCCGGGCUUAACCCGGGAAGUGCAUUCGAUACUGCGUGGCUUGAGUAUCGGAGAGGUUUGGUGGAAUUCUCGGGUGUAGAGGUGAAAUUCGUAGAUAUCGAGAGGAACACCGGUGGCGAAGGCGGCCAACUGGACGAAUACUGACGCUGAGACACGAAAGCGUGGGGAGCAAACAGGA